ACGUAGGCAGCAAGCGUUGUUCGGAAUUACUGGGCGUAAAGAGUGUGUAGGCGGUGCUCUAAGUUUGGUGUGAAAUCUCCCGGCUCAACUGGGAGGGUGCGCCGAAAACUGGAGUGCUAGAGUAUGGGAGAGGUAAGCGGAAUUCCUGGUGUAGCGGUGAAAUGCGUAGAUAUCAGGAGGAACACCUGUGGUGUAGACAGCUUACUGGACCAUCACUGACGCUGAGACACGAAAGCGUGGGUAGCAAACAGGA
rnacentral:rRNA from 1 species